rnacentral:rRNA from 1 species
CCUACGGGUGGCAGCAGUGAGGAAUAUUGGUCAAUGGGCGCGAGCCUGAACCAGCCAUGUAGCGUGCAGGAUGACUGCCCUAUGGGUUGUAAACUUCUUUUAUAAAGGAAUAAAGUGAGGCACGCGUGCCUUUUUGUAUGUACUUUAUGAAUAAGGAUCGGCUAACUCCGUGCCAGCAGCCGCGGUAAUACGGAGGAUCCGAGCGUUAUCCGGAUUUAUUGGGUUUAAAGGGAGCGUAGAUGGGUUGUUAAGUCAGUUGUGAAAGUUUGCGGCUCAACCGUAAAAUUGCAUUUGAUACUGGCCGGCUUGAGGACAGUUGAGGUAGGCGGAAUGCGUGGUGUAGCGGUGAAAUGCUUAGAUAUCACGAAGAACUCCGAUUGCGAAGGCAGCCUACUAAGCUGCCACUGACAUUGAUGCACGAAAGUGUGGGUAGCAAACAGGAUUAGAUACCCGAGUAGUC